rnacentral:rRNA from 1 species
CAGUAGCCACGGGAAUACGAAGGGGGCUAGCGUUGCUCGGAAUUACUGGGCGUAAAGGGAGCGUAGGCGGGUUAUCAAGUUGGAGGUGAAAGCCCAGGGCUCAACCUUGGAAUUGCCUUCAAAACUGAUAGCCUAGGGUAUGAUAGAGGUAAGUGGAACUCCGAGUGUAGAGGUGAAAUUCGUAGAUAUUCGGAAGAACACCAGUGGCGAAGGCGACUUACUGGAUCAUGACUGACGCUGAGGCUCGAAAGCGUGGGGAGCAAACAGGAUUAGAUACCCCAGUAGUCCCUGUCUCUUAUAC